rnacentral:rRNA from 1 species
GACGAACGCUGGCGGCGUGCCUAAUACAUGCAAGUCGAGCGGAGGUUGGAGAGCUUGCUCUUUAACUUUAGCGGCGGACGGGUGAGUAACACGUGGGCAACCUGCCCUGCAGAUCGGGAUAACUCCGGGAAACCGGUGCUAAUACCGAAUAGUUUUCGCCACCUCCUGGUGGCGUACGGAAAGACGGUUUCGGCUGUCACUGUAGGAUGGGCCCGCGGCGCAUUAGCUAGUUGGUGGGGUAACGGCCCACCAAGGCGACGAUGCGUAGCCGACCUGAGAGGGUGAUCGGCCACACUGGGACUGAGACACGGCCCAGACUCCUACGGGAGGCAGCAGUAGGGAAUCUUCCACAAUGGACGAAAGUCUGAUGGAGCAACGCCGCGUGAGUGAUGAAGGUUUUCGGAUCGUAAAACUCUGUUGUAAGGGAAGAACACGUACGAGAGGGAAUGCUCGUACCUUGACGGUACCUUACGAGAAAGCCACGGCUAACUACGUGCCAGCCGCCGCCGUAACAC